CUUCGAUGAAUCCACAGCCACGUCUGCUUAGCUCUCUAGGUCGUCUAUUACCGAGUCCUCUUUUUUUUGUGGUUUCAGUCUCUCUCGCCCCAAAGUCUCUUUCUGUUUCUCCUCAAAUCUCACUCCAAUUCCUACUUCCUCAUCAACAAUCCGCUCAUCAGUAGGUUAAUUGCUCAUGGAACGGAUCGUCGGUGGCAAGUACAAGCUCGGCCGGAAAAUCGGCAGUGGAUCCUUCGGUGAAAUCUUUCUCGCCACUCAUAUCGAUACUUUUGAGAUCGUUGCUGUUAAGAUCGAGAACAGUAAGACAAAGCACCCGCAAUUGCUUUACGAAGCAAAGUUGUAUAAUCUUCUUCAGGGUGGCAGUGGUAUUCCUAGCAUAAAAUGGUCCGGUGUUGAUGGGGAGGACAAUGUGCUGGUCCUUGAUUUACUGGGGCCGAGCUUGGAGGACCUGUUUGUGUACUGCGGGAGGAAGUUAUCGCUCAAGGCAGUGUUGAUGUUGGCUGAUCAAAUGAUUACAAGGAUAGAAUAUGUGCACUCUAGAGGGUUUCUGCAUAGAGACAUCAAACCUGAUAACUUUCUCAUGGGUCUUGGUCGUAAAGCAAAUCAGGUUUACAUAAUUGACUUUGGCCUUGCUAAAAGAUAUCGAGAUGCCGCAACCAAUCGCCAUAUUCCUUAUCGGGAGAAUAAAAACUUGACAGGAACUGCACGUUAUGCCAGUUGCAAUACUCACCUUGGAAUUGAGCAGAGCCGGCGGGAUGAUUUGGAGUCACUUGGCUAUGUACUGUUAUAUUUUCUUAGAGGAAGCCUUCCAUGGCAGGGUUUGAAAGCUGCCACAAAGAAACAGAAAUAUGACAAAAUUUGUGAAAAAAAAUUGUCAACGCCUAUUGAGGUUCUUUGCAAAUCUCAUCCAGUGGAGUUUGCUUCAUACCUACAUUAUUGUCACUCACUCACAUUUGAUCAGCGACCUGAUUAUGGAUUCUUGAAGCGCCUGUUUCGAGAUCUGUUUGCCCGUGAAGGAUAUGAAUUUGAUUAUGUAUUUGAUUGGACUAUCAUAAAAUAUCAGCAGGCACAAAAGAGUAGAAGUCAACCUCGCUCAUCUCCAGUUCCUGGAGCAAGUAGCAGUCAUGUGACUCAUGUGGCGCCAACAGAUAUGGAGAACCAUCAAGGAAGCAAUAUUGCUCCCCAUUCCUCUGACAUCAUGCGAUCUAGUGGUCCUGUGCGCAUGCAAUUAAAAUCAGCAGCGGGCAAGAAUUUGAGCUCUGAUAAUCAUGGCUACAAGAAUAUUGGAACUGAAGGACAUAUUCCCUCCACUUCAUUUUCGCUUGCUGGGGCCUCAAAAAGAAAUGCCCCAAAGCCUGUUUUUCCCACUGAAGCUGCAAACCCUGGUCAGGGACACAGCAGCAAAGCUGGUCCUUCAAAUAGCUGGAUUUCAUCAUUGCAACGCAUUCAUUCUGCAAAGUGAUUUGCAUGCUGCAAUCUGGUCAAGAAGAUACUAGUGAUACAUCUAUUGGAGGCAGCAAACCUUUGGUGACUGGUGUCAUGCUUUCAGCUAUUUAUCUGUUAAGAAGUUUCCAGUGUUGCAUUUAAAGGGAUCCAAUGUGCUUUGUUCCUUUGUGAAUAGCUGCUCACAUAAUUUUUUUCUUAAGUUCAUACUUGCAGGAUUCUUUUUCUCCCAACAGGGGGCUAUCAUGCAGGGAUGACAUUUGAAGGCCAUAGUACGUACAGUUUUGGAUUCUCAUUGCGGUAUUCUUGGAAGACACUACUAAUGCCAACUGGGGUACAAGGUGUUAAAAGAAUACUAAUUGUGAUGCCAGUCUUGUGUGGAUUCAGUAUUCUGCAGGGUGCUUAUAUUCUUGCAAUUAUUGUGCUGCAUACUUGAUUUAAAUGAGAGAUUGCAGAAUUGGUUAUUCUUAUCAAGUAGACGUUAGCCUGUGUAUUAUUUUGCCAAGAACUUGAGAUGUAAGAGUUACCAUUCAAGCUUGUUUGUCUGAUGAUGCUACAAAUUUCAAGUGAGUAACCUUACUUUGGUAAUCAUGAGAUUUCAAUUGCAGCUGCUUGUCAAAGUUGCUGGAUGGAGGAUGAGUAGUUGGAUAUUCCUUCGUUUAUUUGGAUUAUCAUGAGCAUACAAAGGAAACUACUUGCCAUUGAGUGUUAUUCUGCAGAUAUUUCUUAUUUCUGUUUGGGAGGGAUGUUAUAUCCAGCUUGGAUUACUUGGCGUGGUUUUUUGAAGAGAUCUUCAGGUACAAGUUUUUUCAGGGAACUGAAAUUAUUGGACUUCAGUUCAGAAUAGAUGACAGUCUGGGAUAUCUCUCAGCUUUGCGGUUGAAUGGUAGUUUACAUCUCGAAUUCUGUUGAGACUUUCAGGCAGUUCUUAUGUUUGGUGUGAUGGUUAUUGAUCAGAGGUGAUUAGCGUUGACUUUGAAUCCUUAGUUUGAAUGUUAUGGUAGUGCUGUAUUUGAGGAUAACUUGCAGACUUAUCAGUAGUCUGACGUCAUUUUUCAACUUAUUACCGUGGGAUUUGAUUAUGUCAGGCUGCUGUAUGGUUCAGCAUGAUGAUCUCUCCUUGGAAAUUUUAGCUGCUCUAUUACGAAAUGUUAUGGUGGUAACAGUUUUUAAAUAUUUCAAAACUUAAUUGGUUAAUGGCAUUAAUCUGUACUCUCUUCGCAGUCACAGGCGAGGGUACUGCAACGUUUUGGAUGGUUAAUGGCUCCUAAAGUAAUGCUGCCAAUAAUAUUCUGCAUCUCUUGUAUCCAUUCAUGCUCUUCUACAGAUAACUUGGUUUACUUUUACUUUCUUUGGAUCAGUUUCUUCUUGUUGGUUGUUAUAUUAGCUACUGUGAUUCUCAGGUGUGUUUGAUCUAGUUGGAAAGACGGUAGCCGGGAAACUAGGGAUUUGACUAAUUAUUGUGUGCGUUUGCUUAUGCGUGAGAGAAUAAGAGGUGGAAAUUCUGUAAAACAGCAUGGAGAUGAUUUUCAAUUGCUUGGAGAUGAUUUUCCACCAGGAAAACUAGGGAUCUAAUGUGUGCUGGUGCAGGAUUGCAAUCUGUUUGCUGAAGGGCUGAGUAUUGCCAUUUGUAAUUUGGAGUUCUUAUGACCAAUGGAGCAUGCAUUUGAUAUACAACUUCAAGUUUAUAA